GCUGGCGUAGCUUAGUUGGUAGAGCAAUCGGCUGUUAACCGGUAGGUCAGAGGUUCGAGCCCUCUCGCCAGCGCCA
rnacentral:tRNA from 1 species